GUAGGUGAACCUGCGGAAGGAUCAUUAACAGUGCUUUUUGUAUGCAAAUACAACUCUCACUAACCAACCAUGUGUGAACCGUUUUGACUGACUAAAUGUGCGGGUACCCAGUAAAUCGGGUAUGGCUGCACAUUUUUAUAUUUACAACCACUGUUUUUUGUAGUACUGAAUAGUAAAGCUUAGUUGAAAAACUUGCAAAACUUUUAGCAAUGGAUCUCUAGGCUCUU
rnacentral:misc_RNA from 1 species